UACAGAGGCCCCAAGCGUUACUGAGAAUCACUGGGUUUAAAGGGUGCGUAGGUGGCGCGUUAAGUCCGUUGUGAAAUCCCUUGGCUCAACCAAGGAAAUGCUUCGGAUACUGGCGUGCUUGAGGCUAGUAUGGGUCACUGGAACUGACGGUGGAGCGGUGAAAUGCGUAGAUAUCGUCAGGAACGCCAAUGGUGAAGACAGGUGACUGGGCUAGUUCUGACACUGAGGCACGAAAGCGUGGGGAGCGAACGGGG
rnacentral:rRNA from 1 species